rnacentral:tRNA from 1 species
GCCGAAGUGGCGGAAUUGGCAGACGCGCUGCGUUCAGGGCGCAGUGGGGUCACACCCAUGUGGGUUCAAAUCCCACCUUCGGCA